rnacentral:rRNA from 1 species
GACGUAGGGAGCGAGCGUUGUCCGGAUUCAUUGGGCGUAAAGCGCGCGUAGGCGGUUUGGUAAGUCGGAUGUGAAAUCCCGAGGCUCAACCUCGUGACUGCAUCCGAUACUGCCCGACUAGAGGUAGGUAGGGGAGAUCGGAAUUCCUGGUGUAGCGGUGAAAUGCGCAGAUAUCAGGAGGAACACCAGCGGCGAAGGAGCCACUCUGGGCCGGUACUGACGCUGAGGAGCGAAAGCGUGGGGAGCGAACAGG